rnacentral:rRNA from 1 species
UACGUAGGGGGCUAGCGUUGUCCGGAUUUAUUGGGCGUAAAGAGCGUGUAGGCGGCCAGGUAGGUCUGCUGUGAAAACUCGAGGCUCAACCUCGAGACGUCGGCGGAAACCAUCUGGCUAGAGUCCGGAAGAGGAGAGUGGAAUUCCACGUGUAGCAGUGAAAUGCGUAGAGAUGUGGAGGAACACCGAUGGCGAAGGCAGCCCCCUGGGCUAACACUGACGCUCAUGCACGAAAGCGUGGGGAGCAAACAGG